rnacentral:rRNA from 1 species
UACGAAGGGGGCUAGCGUUGCUCGGAAUUACUGGGCGUAAAGCGCACGUAGGCGGAUUGUUAAGUCGGGGGUGAAAUCCUGGAGCUCAACUCCAGAACUGCCUUCGAUACUGGCGAUCUCGAGUUCGGGAGAGGUGAGUGGAACUGCGAGUGUAGAGGUGAAAUUCGUAGAUAUUCGCAAGAACACCAGUGGCGAAGGCGGCUCACUGGCCAGAUACUGACGCUGAGGCACGAAAGCGUGGGGAGCAAACAGG